rnacentral:rRNA from 1 species
GACGAACGCUGGCGGCGUGCCUAACACAUGCAAGUCGAACGGGACCAGGGCAACUCUGGUUCAGUGGCGGACGGGUGCGUAACACGUGAGGAACAUGACCUUCGGCGGGGGAUAGCCGGCCCAACGGCCGGGUAAUACCGCGUACGACCUUUCGGGGACAUCCCCGGAUGGUGAAAGCAGCAAUGCGCCGAUGGAGUGCCUCGCGGCCUAUCAGCUAGUUGGUGAGGUAACGGCUCACCAAGGCAACGACGGGUAGCUGGUCUGAGAGGAUGGCCAGCCACAUUGGGACUGAGACACGGCCCAGACUCCUACGGGAGGCAGCAGUGGGGAAUAUUGCGCAAUGGACGAAAGUCUGACGCAGCGACGCCGCGUGUGGGAUGACGGUCUUCGGAUUGUAAACCACUGUCGGGAGGGACGAAUACGCCGCAAGGCGGGUGACGGUACCUCCAAAGGAAGCACCGGCUAACUCCGUGCCAGCAGCCGCGGUAAUACGGAGGGUGCGAGCGUUGUCCGGAAUCACUGGGCGUAAAGGGCGCGUAGGCGGCCUGAUAAGUAGGGGGUGAAAUCCUGUGGCUUAACCGCAGGGCUGCCUUCUA